GCCCGAAUGGUGAAAUUGGUAAACACAGAAGACUUAAAAUCUUCCGGCUACGGUCUUGUCGGUUCGAAUCCGACUUCGGGCACCA
rnacentral:tRNA from 10 species